UUACAUGUCCUUUUUGGUCUUCAACGUCUGUGGACUUGCAAGAGUCAAUAUUGUUCGCUCAACAACAAUCAGUUUUACUAUUAUUUAAUUAUAAUAAUUAAAUAAACACAACAAUAGUAUAUAAAAGUAAAUAAACAAAACGAAAUUCGAAAAUUAGUAAAUAAAACACUAAGGGCAUGUUUACGUAUCAGUAAUGGAGAAAGUAAGGAAUCAGAUAAUUUAGGAAUCGGGGAACUACUGAAUCGGUAUAAGAAGAAUCAUUCCC
rnacentral:lncRNA from 1 species